GCCUAACAGCUAGCCCACCCAAACAAUUUCAACAAACCCCUGUUAAUAACCCCUAAGUACCCCAGUAUUUAUUUUAAACAAACCAUUUUUCCCCCUUAGUAUAGGCGAUAGAAAAGGGCCCACGGCGCAAUAGAGAAAGUACCGCAAGGGAACGCUGAAAGAGAAGUGAAACAACCCAGUAAAGCCUAAAAAAGCAGAGAUCUAAACUCGUACCUUUUGCAUCAUGAUUUAGCAAGUGUAACCCAAGCAAAGCGUACUUUAGUUUGACGUCCCGAAACUAGGUGAGCUACUCCAAGACAGCCUAUCAAUAGGGCGUACCCGUCUCUGUGGCAAAAGAGUGGGGAGAGCUUUGAGUAGAGGUGACAAACCUACCGAACCUAGUUAUAGCUGGUUGUCCAAGAAAUGAAUAGAAGUUCAGCCUUUCAGCUUCUCUUUUCACCUUAGUCUGACCCCUAUUGAUGCAUUAAAGAAACCGAAAGAGUUAGUCAAAGGGGGUACAGCCCCUUUGAAUCAAGACACAACUUUACCAGGAGGGUAAAGAUCAUAAUAAUUAAAGCUAAAUGUUCUGGUGGGCCUAAAAGCAGCCAUCCCCUUAGAAAGCGUUAAAGCUCAGACAUGCGACCAUACUUCUUAUCCUGAUCACUUAAUCUUACCCCCCUAACCGUACUGGACCAUCCCAUGCCAACAUGGGAGUGACUAUGCUGAAAUGAGUAAUAAGAGAGCUACCGGCUCUCUCCCUGCACACGUGUAUAUCGGAACGGACAACCCACCGAACCUUAACGGCCCCAAAUAAAGAGGGCAGUGGAUGUUAGACCAAAAAACUAGAAAAAUAUCCAAAA
rnacentral:rRNA from 1 species